CUCAAUAAGAUCAAGAUCAAGAAAAUAGAAAGCAAGUUUUGUUUGUUUGGAAAAUUGGUUCAAAAAUGUGUAAUUGUGCUGGAACUUUUGGGGAACGUGGUUAGCCGUGGCUGGCAGGGCAAUACACAGUUUUCUUUUUAAUACUCACACAGAUGAAGAUAAUAUGUAUAUAUGGAUUAUGUAUAUUUAUAAUAUAAGAAAAGCAUACUGCAUUGGAAAUAAGUAUUUGCCUUCAUGGAAUAAAAGGAAAAAAAUUGUGUCGAAUACUGGGAACAUGACUAUAAUCGAUGUAACGCCUUCAUAGACACACAUUGGAAUUACGCAAAAGAAAUGCAAACAGGAAUGAACAAAAGUGUUAGGUAUACUAUGGCAAUAAAUGUUGACAUGUGAAAUGGAGCAAAUAUGCACAUGCAAAUAGGUGGCAAUAUAAAUUAUUAGUCGAGUUAAGUCUAACUCGAGUUAAGUUUAAUUCUGGUCUCUUUUCUAAUGCACUUUUUUUUCAAUCCGUUUUCAGACGCUCCGUUUUUAGAAAGUUAUCAUUGUUUAUUUCGACUUCGAUAUUUUUUUAUCAUAUUUCCUACGACUUAUUACAUUCAGCGAUUUUUUUAUCUGCAUAUACACGAAUGUACAUUAAGAAUUUUCUCCGAAUAUCUGAAGAUGAUCCGGUAAAAAGUUUCGGAGAUAUGAGUGUAUUUAUUUGAAACAAUUUUAAGCAGAAUAAUCUUGCACGCCGCCAGACAUUGAGAUUCAAGAAACGAUUUCUUUAUUAACGAAUAAAUAAUUAAAUAUAUUGAAACCAAUUAUAGAUGAACCAAUAAUGAGUUAUGCUGUCCACGGCAAGAACGCUUGUCUUUGUGUUUAAAGACGUCAAGGGAGAUGAGGUACCCAACGGCUAAUUUUUCGGAGUUUUUGAAUAAAAAUUUUACUGUUUACAUAUAUAUGUAUAUAUUUGAUAUUCUGAAUUGUUUAAAUUAAAUACAUAUACGACUGUAUAUAUAAUAUUAAAAAAAAGGGAAAAUAAUUAUGCAUGCUUGACCUUUAGUUGUGUAUCGGAGGUGAUACAAUUUAUGUGCAUGAGAUAAUUGCGGAUGGGCUUAUGUAAACGGCUUUAAACAUGUCCCGGAAGGACGGCCAUUGUUCAUAACCACUGUCACAUGCGGGCACCUUGAGAUGGAUGCUUUUACUUGCCUCCUGAAUUUGCAUUUCUGGCAACUUUACUCCGAUGUGAAGUAGGUGCAAUUGAUUUAUGUAGUUUUAAAUUUUCAGAAAUCAUAGAUUUUUCUUCGAAGCUAUGUUCGUAUUUGGUACUUUUUUACUUGUUAAGAAGUCUUCGUGGAGGAUUUUACACUCACCAUAUGACAUGAGUAUAGGUUUUCUGAGGAGCUUAGUCUCGCAGACCACUCUUAUGAUAAAUAAUGAAUGAUUUAUUUUCUAUAACCUAAUUCUUGGGUUAUAGUAAGUGAGCGUUCAACACACUUAUUAAGUCUUCCGCGCAACCUUUC